CAGUAGUCACGAGUUUGAUCCUGGCUCAGGAUGAACGCUGGCGGUAUGCCUAACACAUGCAAGUCGUACGAGAGUUUUUAACUCUAGUGGCGGACGGGUGAGUAACACGUGAGAAUUUGCCUUUAGGAGGGGGACAACAAUCGGAAACGAAUGCUAAUACCCCAUAUGCUUUCGAGUGAAAUGGAUUUUAUCCGCCUAGAGAGAAGCUCGCGGCUGAUUAGCUUGUUGGUAAGGUAAGAGCUUACCAAGGCGACGAUCAGUAUCUGGUUUGAGAGGACGAUCAGACACACUGGAACUGAGACACGGUCCAGACUCCUACGGGAGGCAGCAGUGGGGAAUUUUCCGCAAUGGGCGAAAGCCUGACGGAGCAAUACCGCGUGAGGGAAGAAUGCCUAUGGGUUGUAAACCUCUUUUUUCAGGGAGGAAUCAAAUGACGUGUACCUGAAGAAUAAGCAUCGGCUAACUCCGUG
rnacentral:rRNA from 1 species